rnacentral:lncRNA from 1 species
UGGAGCCUGGUGAGCUCAAGAAUUUCUGACUUGGAAGGUGAACAUAACCAGACACAGGAAGAAACUGUUCCCUCAUCUGGCUUAUGUGUACUUUGUCCAAGUUUAGUAUUUUGUUAUUGCUUCCUACCUUCACCCCCACCCCCUGGAAGCCUCACUCUUGUCAAGCCCAAGGGUGUCCAAGGUUGCAAUGAAAAGUGGAGAUUGUGAGCUGUGCCCCUGCAAGACAGCAGGAAACAAAAACCCCUGGAAAAGCAAAGCGUGGCAGGAGCUGCCAUCCACAGUAAUAUUCAACAUCAGCUCACUGCCUCAGGAUGUCAUUCCAGGCUGUGACAGAAGGUUGUCCUGCCAGUGCCUCCUGUGCAGCUUCUUGCAUCUGCUUUUGAAUCCUUAG